UACAGAGGGUGCGAGCGUUAAUCGGAAUUACUGGGCGUAAAGCGUGCGUAGACGGUUAUUUAAGUCGGGUGUGAAAGCCCCGGGCUCAACCUGGGAAUUGCAUUCGAGACUGAAUAGCUAGGGUACGGUAGAGGGAAGUGGAAUUUCCGGUGUAGCGGUGAAAUGCGUAGAUAUCGGAAGGAACAUCAGUGGCGAAAGCGACUUCCUGGACCAGUACCGACGUUCAGGCACGAAAGCGUCGGGGAGCAAACAGG
rnacentral:rRNA from 1 species